GUAUCCACCAUCUUGGGGGUAGCCGCCAUCUUGGGGUAUCCACCAUCUUGGGGGUAGCCGCUGUCUGGGACCUCAGGGGUGAGUUGGGUCCCCGGGGCAGAGCGGUGGCUGUGAUCUGUCGCCAAGCAGAGGGCCUCGGCCCCCUUCCUAAAGGAACACGGUGGUUUUAUGAAGCCUUUGGUGUUUGAAUCUUCCCUUCGCAUAAAAAGGAUCAAUGGCAGAGGCACCUAGAACUGGGUAACAAGUCACUGACAGUCUACGGGCAGCGCCAGCUUUGUUCUGCGGUGACUGUUUAAGGCUGCAGUCUCGUAGCUGCCUCAAGUUUGCCUGUAUCUGCUGUGCUCCACCACAUGAACCCGCUGCAUCCUUUGGCAGGCCGUCACGUUCAUUUGGUAACCAGAGAGUCGCCUGUGAAUCCGGAGAGGGGUGACAUGACUCACUUCGUUGCGCAGAUCAUGUCAACGGCUGGACAGACUGGCCUUGCUGUGAGAGUUGUCAGGUGGCAGAUACACAGUGUGUGCGCUUAAGGAUGGGGAAAAGCAGAAAGAGCUGUGUAGCAGUGAAGCCUUGUAGCAUGGAAUUGGUUGGGCUCUGCAUAUGCACUUGAGGAAAGCUGCACAAGAACAGCCAGGUCAGGGUCUUCAGAACUUCUGCUUUCAUUGGCUGCACCAAGGAAAUCUUGAAUUAUACCCUGCUUGGAUACCAGUCACCCUGUGCCAUUGAAUUCAUUGGGAGUUUUACCCAUGAGGUAAUUAUUAUUAAGGUAGUUUCAAAUUUCCUUCUCUAUUUUUUUAAGAUAAAUGCAUGAAAAUAUGACCCUACAUUCAUGAGACUUUUUAAAAAUUAUUUUUCAGAUAUUUUUCUGCCUUGACAAUGGAUAACAAUGUUUACUAUUGCUUUGUAAACACAAAGUUGGUUACUAAUGAGAUGAGUAAAAGGGAGAGGCUUAGCUGGAGGUGAUUAUGUUAUGAUCUAAGUACAUCAGAUUUCAGAUUUAAAUGUCAGAGUGGUAUUGGCAGGCUGUUCUCCAUGAACAGUGGUCAUGUUGGGAAGUCACUGCUGAUCUGAAAGAGCUUUAUUUCACUAAACUCCAGGGAAUGCAGUAAAGUCAAUCUGUUUACAUGGCAUUCUGCUCAGGGAUUUGAGCAGAACAAUGUGUUUGUGCUUGUUUUGGGAAGGAUGUUGGAGACACUAAACUGGACCGUGUCCCUUAACUGAAAUUGAGUUGGCCUGGAGUUGAUUUGUUAAUUAAUUUCUAUGCGUUGUGAAUUUAUAGUGUCAACCACAUGUGAAUCAGAGAAAAGUAAUGGUUUCACAACUCUGAAAAGUCUAGCUAAAGGGGAGAAUCAAGGAGUAAAACACAACAUAGAGUACAAGAAGCUCUGAAACUCUCAGGGUUUCUCUGAGCAGUCUGCAUUGAUACCAAACUUGUUCUUUAGAAGUCUGAAAUACUCUUAAUAAACCUAGGAAUCAGAACUGGAAACUUUAAAACAAACAAAAAAAAAGUCUACCCUUCUGGCAGCGCAGGAUUUGGACUCAUCUACAGAAGGAAGUACUCAAAUUAAGCUGAAAGAAGGUUAACAGCCAUAAGCUUACCUUUUAUUUAUAUCAAAAACAAUUUGACCGUACCUCAGCAUAUGGACAAUAGUCCUUAAGAAUCUUGUGGCAUUAUCUUCAGAGGUAGAGGAUUUUGGUUCCUUUUAAAGUUAGAUUAGAGCCAAAGAGAGAGGUAAGUGGAAUUUAAGUGCUUAAAUCAUAACUACGAUCCUGAAAACCCUUUUCAGUGCCUGUCUAAUCCUUGCACGAUUCUGGCUACAAAGGAGCCUAGUUCUCCAGACAGAUCUUGUAGCAUCUUAAUGUUGGCAGCUUUGAGUACCUUAACUUGGUAAUGCUCAGAAGCCAGAUUCAGUCAUUAAAGUGUUCCGAUGGCAGGUAUGGUACUUUGAUACUUUGAUGAGACAUAUUUUACAGCUAUCUGACGUGUCUUAUUCUUUCUUUUAAAACCUGGCCAACAGAGGCACAGUGAUGCCUUCCCUGCUUAUACUUGAGAUUUACAAAUCUUGGAAAAGUGUGCAUGCUUUUGUAGAUUAUUAGUGCCUGGAAAGAAGAAAUUUCAGUCCUUCCUAAGGACCUUCUCAUGCAUUCUGUGCGCACGCUAGUACACAAAUACAUUCCUUAAGAAGCAGGGUACACAGUCGUGAUUCCUAUGUUUCAAACCUUUUUUUUUUCAUACUCUUUGAGAGUUUUCACAGCCCCUCUCCAGUGAACAUAGAUGUCUCAAUCCUUUCCACUUCUUCCAACAGCUAGGCUGUCUAACAGGAACGAUGGUUCCUGUUCAACGUCCUGUAUAGUGAUCUGUACUCAGUUAUUGAAAAAAAAAAAGAACCCUACAGACCCUGAGCAAACAGAGAGGUCUUUUUUCCAUCCUUGGUACAACACCAGGCCCUGGAGGGGAACUGAUCUGAAACUUAUUUUUAUUGUGUUUUUGGUAGCUGCAGGUGAUACUGUAUGCAGUGUGCUGUCUGCUAAGCAGCAUCAAAAAUCAUCAUGCUGAUUGUUCUGAAUGUCAUUGCUGAGAUACCAAAGUCUGUACUUCCUAGAACUUUGGUAUCAAAGAGAAUUCAAGGACACGCAGAUGGUGGUGUCUCUAAAGAAACUAUCCCAUCUACUCCGACCAUUCGUUUCUCCCCUCCUCUGCCCUGAGUAAGUAUUUGUGCAGCCAUGUGACUGCCUAGAUUGGGAAAUGAGCCAGCUAAAAAAACAACCUUGAAAAAAAAGUUAUUUUUUAGCUGGAUUAUUUCUCCAAACCAGUUCAUCCUGUGGUGAAAAAACAGUAUGCUGUCCCAGGAGGAGGAUGACAUGGAGCAAGGUCAGUGGGCUCAGUGGGAGGUGAAUGACAGCUUAUUUCAGUGGUGCUACCAGCAUAACAUGACUUAAAGCACUGAUAACAGCCUCGUGCUCUGUAGAUACAGCAUAUGGAGCCUCAGUGCCAGAGAGAAGGCUCCAGAUUUUGUUUCACGGGACCUAAAUUUUAGGCAUUCCAACAUGUAAGUCCUUUUUUUCUGUUCUAGCAAGGCAACAGACAGAAACGUUCCUGAGAAUGAACAUAUCAGCACUUUUGGAUGUCAAAUAUCUGCCUGUUAUAAAAGUACAAGUCCAUUUCCAACAGAGAGUUAUGAAAUAAAUAGUCUAUAGUAAUCUACAUUAUUUACAGGAAAGAUUCUGAAAUGUGUUUGAAAUGAUUUGGGAGUAUUUCAGCUUUCCUAAGAUGUGUGUCCCAGAACAGUACUAUGAGGCAACAUAGUGGUUUCAUAAAUAAUCCUAGUACAACCACUAGAAAGCAAACAAUGAAGAAGAAAUCAUCUAGCAUACGUGGUGUUAGGCUUGAAUCGUAUUCCAGUUCUUUGGCUAGAAAUCAACUGCAUGUUAAUGGAAUACUUUUUUUCAAAUAAAGUUGUUAGCGCUUUAGUGAGGAUCAUCAGUUUUUAAAGGCAGAAUAAAUUCUAGCAUGCAAGCUAUUUUACGCUGACUGAUCACAAAUGAGAAGGGAAGAGUAGGAGAGGGGCUAGAGGGGAUGGCCUUGUCAGUAGUAUUAACCUGCGCUUUUUUCUUUGAGGAAUGAAUUGAAAUUGCUUGUUUAUAUUCCUUGGGCAUAAAAAAAAACGCCUCUGAAAAUCCCAGGUGUGGCUAGGGAUGGAUUGACCACUGGACACGGCGUAGAAUUAACUGCAGGGUACAGUGUAUCAUGGAUGUGUCUCUGGCCUGAAUGACAGAUUCUGAAACUGUCCAUAUGAAAAACACAUCUUUUCUGUUUCUUGCCAAACGUUAUAGUCAGCAGGAUUUAUUCAUGCCUCCACUGAAUAUUUUACAUCAGUAAUCUUUUGGGGGAUGUUUUAAUAAGUGCUUUCGUCUCUGGAAAUGCUUUUUGGAAAAGAUUGUGAGUUUUUUCCCUUUUUUAAUUUCCAAACAGUAUUUAAUGCAUGCCAUGCUUCAUUAAGAAACAGAGAGUGUAAAGAAAAUCCUGUCUUAAAUAGAAACCUGUGGUACAGCUGAGAUAAAUUAAAAAGUCAAUGUGUGUAAGUUAAAGUAUGGCAACUGCUGAUGUGGAGGAUAUCUCUGAGAAGUAAAGUAAUCUCAGUAUUAUGCACUUUUGGCCUUGAAAGAUUCCUGGAAAAACUUGGAAUUUUUAAAUGCUGAAGGAAGGUCACUUUGCCUGGAAAACUAUGCACAGGAAUUUAAUAGAUUAAGUUAUGUUUCUUAACAGCACUGUUUUGGGCAGUUCAUCUCAAUCCCCAAUGCAGACAAGCACAAAGGUGCUUGGCAAACCAGUAUUCCAAGUGUUAUCUUCUAUAAGCUUUAACCAACCUAACUUAAUCAGCACAAUUAUUAAGAAUGUAAAAAUGAAAAGCGCACAUUUUUAGAGAAUGCAACUUCUCUUUCCAUCUUCUACCUCUAUCCUUAACCCUUUUGGCAGAGCCCAAGUUGCUGAAUAGACUGCCAGCAGAUAUUUGCAUGUAAUUUGUUUUCUUUUACCCUUUUAUUGAAACCCCCGGUGUGAAGCCAAGUAAUGGAUCAGGUUAUGGCUGUUUCAGAUUAAUUCUCCUGUGGAAAUCGCACUUACCUUCUCCGUAAAGAUAUUUCCACAGGCAGGCCCUCUCCAGGGAAUAGAUGGAAGAUUUCGUGUGCUGUUUUUUCAAAUUACCCAGGAUUUAAUUAUUUUGGAUGAACUUAGAUUUCAAUUACUCCCUGUGUUAUUAUGCUUGUAUGGAGCUCUUUUGAAGAUACAGACAGACACUACAGCUGCUAACCCAGCUCAUUUCCAAAGAAGUGUUACUAACUAAGGCCUCUCAGUCUAGUUUUUUGGAGGGUUUUUUGAACUGUUAUUUUUGUAUGUCGCUGAUUCUGGCUGAAGAUGUUUUGCUGACUCCAGUUUUUAAAUAAAUGGCUCAUACUCUGUGAUACUCUGUUUCAUAUCUGACAAACGAUCAUGAUUACAUCUUAAAUCAACAUUAAAAAUGUAUAGUUCAGUGUAAUUCACAGCUGAAGACAGCAUUAGAAUACAGUGUGCAGGUAUAUUUUCAUUAUUAUUUACUCACAGGAAAAUGCAGUUCUAUGGAGGAGAAAAUUGUCAAUACCUUUGGGUAAAAAACUGUCGUGACAAGUAAGAAAAUAUAUUGAAGGAACUGACAUAUUUUGUUUCAGCUCUGUCAAAAUGAAACCCUUUGAUUGUAUUAAUUUCAGACA